rnacentral:rRNA from 1 species
UACGUAGGGGGCAAGCGUUGUCCGGAUUUAUUGGGCGUAAAGAGCGUGUAGGCGGCUUUGCAAGUCCGUUGUGAAAACUCGAGGCUCAACCUCGAGACGCCGGUGGAAACUGCAAAGCUAGAGUCCGGAAGAGGAGAGUGGAAUUCCUGGUGUAGCGGUGAAAUGCGCAGAUAUCAGGAAGAACACCGGUGGCGAAGGCGGCUCUCUGGGCCUUACCUGACGCUGAGGAGCGAAAGCGUGGGCAGCGAACAGG